rnacentral:lncRNA from 1 species
UUGAGAACUGCCAACAGGUGCAGAAGAAAAGGAGGUCCUCAUACAAAGCCGCAUGCGCGAGAGACUGAGUUGGGGCGGUUAAUUACUACUCUUACCCUUUAGCUAGGGUGUUUAACACAGAAUUUUACUAGACACCUGUGAUUAGGCCUGAAAAUAUGAACAUAAAAUUUUGAGUCCUAUGACUCCUAAAUGUAUAACCUCAUCCUGAAUGUCAUACUUCCGGUUUAUCCUUUUAGGAUUGAACCCAAAUCUCCCGUGCACGCAAGGCCACUUUUUCUUUUCCCAUUUUUUAAAUAGUAGGAUAACAUUGCGCAGUAAAUGCAUUUGUAGCAACUUGAAAAUGUUCUAAAUAAUCUAAAAUAAUUUUAACAUUCGUCCAAUCAUGGGUAGUAAGCAUUUCAUCAUCAUCCUCACCACCUACCCGAUAAUUAAACGUUGCAUUAAUUGGGUUUCUAUAUUCAUACGCAACAAACAAAUCAGCUAGUGCGGCAAUAUAAACUAAACAGUUUGAAAUAGUAGGAUAACAUUGCGCAGUAAAUGCAUUUGUAGCAACUUGAAAAUGUUCUAAAUAAUCUAAAAUAAUUUUAACAUUCGUCCAAUCAUGGGUAGUAAGCAUUUCAUCAUCAUCCUCACCACCUACCCGAGAAUUAAAGGUUGUAUUAAUUGGGUUUCUAUAUUCAUAUGCAACUACUAAACUUUUGUACAUACAAUUCCAUCUUGUCGGGCAAGGUUUAGGAACCUUUCUUUCUCUUAGGCCAUAUUCAUCACAUUUUGUAAAAUACUCUCUAAGCCUAGUUCUACGGUUUGAAUAAAAAAGUCAAUUAAGAGCCAUUCGAACCUUUUCAAUUUCUAUGNNNNNNNNNNNNNNNNNNNNNNNNNNNNNNNNNNNNNAUUCGAACCUUUUCAAUUUCUAUGUUUAAAAUUUGCAUACCAUCACCGACAAUUAAAUGAUAAAUAUGACAAAUACAUCUAACAUGAAAAAUAUUAGUAGAUGCAGGACUUAGUAUUUUUGUAAGCAUGCAUAUAGCACUAGUGUUACUAGAAGCAUUAUCCAUAGAAUUGCCAUUAUUUUAUCGCUAAAGCAAAAUAUCUACAAAUAUCUGAAACAAUGUUAGCUAUAAACUUAACUGUGUGACGUGAAUUUAUUAUCCUAUACGCAAUUAUACGUUUUUGCAUUGUCCAGUCCUCAUCUAGUCAAAUUACCUGUGCCGCUACGAUCUACAGUAAAUUUAUGAACUAGUAAUUUCCCACAUAUUUUACACUUGGCCUUAUUUAGUUCUCUUACUUGAGUAAAAAAAUUCCAAACUAAUAAUGUUUCUUGACGUUUAGCAGGUUGUCUAUUAAAAGUUGGAGCUUCUACAGGUGGGUCGGCCGGUGCAUUACUUGAGUUAUUAACAUGACUAGUAGGUGUAUCAUCUAAAUAUAGUGCUUGGAUUUCAUCAUCAUCAUCAUCGUCAUUUUCCCCUAAGAUAGGUUCAUUAGGAUAAAGAGCAUUCAUAAUUCCAUCAUCUAAUCUAUCACCUACUGCAACAUCAUGUAGAAAUUCACUAUCGGUAAAUUGAAAACAAGGGUGAUCACUAACAAGCAUUACGGGAGGCGGAGUAUGACGUCUAGGUUGGCGACUACUUUCAACUUGCUUAUCUUUUGUAGGUCGGGGACCCGGGGGAAGGGUAGUAUUAUAGCCACUACUUUCACCGGUUUUACCUUUUCCUUUACCGAAUAUUUUUUUCAAAGAAAAUGCUAUACUAAUUAGAAUUAUGCAAACUAAACAACACAAAAAUAUAUUAUUAACAAGUAAGAGUUGAAACGAGUUUACCGGAUUGCCAAACAACUUCUUGAAAACUGAAAAUCGUUGAACACAAAACUUCAAUUCAACAACUUCACAAUUUUUCACGAAUUUUCAACAAUAAAUUAAGCAAUUGUAGUAGAAAGAUUGAAAGAGAGCUUGAGAGAGAUUGAGAGAUAUUGAUGAAUUGGUGAAUAAAAAUGAAAGAAUGAGGGGGUAUUUAUAGUUGAGAAAUGGGUAAAAGUAUAAUUAUACAAAAUUUGUGGUUAAAUUAAAAUUUGGGGGCCAAAUAGCCAUUUUUUAAACCUCCAAACGUUCAAAUAGUAGCCCAAACGGCUACAUAUUAAAAUAUGUCAGUUGGUGAUUUUUAAAACCAAUUUUUUUUUAAAUAUAGCCGUUGGGACCGUUUAGGCCCGCCAGGAUCGGCCCCGGCCCGGCUGGCGGUCCCGGGCCUAACGGUCACGGGCUCACGGGCUAAAUAAUGCGGACCGGCCUGUCACGGGCCUAACAGUAACACCAGGGCCAGGACCACCAGAACCGGCCCAGCAGGCCCGUUAGGUCCCCCAGAACCGCGGGCCCGAUCCGGUCCGGUUCAGGCCCGUGCCACUGUGCAGCACUAGUUAAACUCCAAAUAAAUUAUGACAUUCAUAGUGUUAUGCAUUUGGAUAUACCAUACAUUCCUCAAAAGCUAAUUAGGUUUUUAGAGAUCGUUUUGUCCAAGGCAAUUGAACAAACAAAACACAAAAGCUUUAGAUUAUGAUAUCAUCUACUUCAAAAGCAAGAUGGGAUACCUAAAUCUUAACUAGUGAAAAAUUCUACUCUUGGUAGAAUUACUCGAUGUCUAAACCAAACAUGAUGGUGAUAUAGCAAGACAAAAAUGACCAUAAUCAGUCCAUUUAUCGAAGCGAAGAAAUCAAAGUUCCGCUAAAUCUGCGAUAACGAUGUAAAUGAGAAAGCAUUAAUAUGUAUAUAUCCAUUUGUAACUUGGUUUCCUUUUAUUUUAUUAUGCUCUUAUCAGUUUCUAAUUGUCUCGUGCAUCUUGUCCACAUGCAUAUAUAUUCCUUGACUAAUCAAACAUCUCCAGGCCAUGAGAUAUGGCCCUCGUUCGAAGUUUCUUGAAAGAUAAAAUCCAUAGGAGUCUAGUCUUUUACCUUGACUCUUCUUAUUGUCCAUGCCAUGGAAACAUCAUAUUGCACCAAUAUUUGUUAGCAGUAUGUUUCCUCUAUGGCCAGGUCCGUUAUAUUUGGCUCGCAGAGUUCACUUUCCUCACUGUCAAGUUUAUAAUAUGUCAUUCAAUCUAAUUCUUAAUUUGCUAUAUCUACCCCUAAUCAAAUGAAUGUUACCAUAGCCAUAAAAAGAUCUAUACACUGAUCAAUAUCCAAGCAAAUUUGUCCUGGAAUUGGGACCAUGGCUAAUGUCUCAAAUGAUAAUUUUACUGGUGACCACUUUAGAAAUGAAUUAGUGGUCGAAGAUCCUUGGUUUGAAGUUGAACUUGAAGAUUGUGCAGAUAUUGAUUCUGUUUAUUCCAUGUGCAAUGAAGAGAAUACAUCUAAUGAACAAGUUACAACCAACUUAUUCCAAGAUCAGCAACAAAGUAUAUCAAAUUGGAUGCAGAGUCGGUUCUCCACCAACACACACCAAAUCCAAUCCAGUAUUGAACAACCAAAGAAUGAUGAUUUCCAGCCUCAAGUCUUACAACUUAUUGGCAACUCUACCAAUGAAAAAUCAAUUCCAUUUUCUUUAGCAUCUUUUGAGCUACUGAACAAUUAUGGCAGACUGAUCAAGAAAUCGAGCGAGGAAAACUUGAGCAUUAAUAAUGCACUAAGCUGUGAGACUCGGGCAUGUAGCAAACACAAGUUGUCAACGGAAGAAAUCCUGAUGGUUGCUGGAGAAAGGUAUCGUGUGACCAUCUCAUCAAAAAGUUUAAGAUGUUAGAUGACCUCUGCAUACUCUGAUACCAUUUUAAUGUGUUUGACUAUCUCAUCUAAAAGUUAAAAAUGUUAGAGAAAACAUACCUUUAAUUACUUAAUUAUAUUAUGUCUCAACAGGUACAUUCAGUACUCCACCCAAAAACUAGACGGUCUUUCUAUGUUUAUGCACCCUUAUGGUUCAGCACUCUCAGGACUUAGUAUAGAGGAAACAAGGGACAUGGAACUUGUCCACCUCCUCCUAUCUGCAGCAGAAGAAGUAAAUAACCAGCAAUUUCAUCUGGCUAGAAAAUUGACUUCUCGUUGUAUGUGGGUGGCAUCUGAAUCAGGUAAUCCGGUUCAGAGACUUUCUUUCUAUAUUGCUAAGGCUUUAGAAGAGAGGAUUGAUCGCGCAACUGGAAGAUACACAUGUACGGAUGAAGAUCGCCACCUCAAGUACAUAAAAAGUAUGGCAUCAGGUACCAACUCUGCAUUCUUGAUCUGCCACCAACUACUUCCCUUCAGUCAAGUGAUGCAAUUUGCAGGAGUUCAAACAAUACUUGAAAAUGUCAGAAGCGCGAAAAAGAUCCAUUUGAUCGAUUUUAAUAUUAGGAGUGGAAUUCAGUGGACAGUCAUGAUGCAAGCUCUUGCUGAAAAAAGUGAAAUUGAGCUUCUCAAGAUAACUGCAGUUGGAAGCACAGAAAAAGAAAAGUUUGAAGUAACAGGCAACACAUUACACAGUUUCGCCACGUCUUUGGGUCUGUCAUUUUCAUUUGAUAUAGUUGUCCUGUCAGACAUGAAAGAUUUCAAGAAAGAAUCAGUCAAUAUUGAAGCAGAUGAGACUCUGGCUGUUUAUUGUAACACUGUUUUAAGGACAAUGAUACCAAAACCAGAUUAUUUGGAAAAUUUGAUGAAAGUAGUCCGAAGCAUUGGACCAACAGUUAUUGUUAUUGGCGAAGUCGAAGCAAACCAUAAUUCACCAUCAUUUUUAAACCGCUUUAUUGAGACACUAUUCUUCUAUGGUGGAUUUUUCGAUUGUUUUGAGGACUGUAUGGAUCGAGAUAGUCCAUGUCGAAGAACGAUUGAAGGGUUGUAUUUUGGUGAAGGUAUUCGGAACAUUGUGGCUGCAGAGGGUAAGGAAAGAUUCACCAGGAAUGUGAAACUUGAAGUAUGGAGAGCAUUCUUUUCAAGGUUUGGUAUGGUGGAAGAAGAGUUUAGUGAGUCAGCUUGGUAUCAAGCUAAUCUAAUUCUCAAGCAAUUUGCCCAAGGCAGUUCUUGUAAUCUUCACAAGGAUGGGAAAGGCCUCAUUAUCGGGUGGAAGGGGACACCAAUUCAUUCUCUUUCCAUUUGGAAGUUCUUGUGAGGAAGAGAAGUUGGUCUUGUUGAGGAAACAAAUAGGAUUUUUGCUUUGCUUAGUUCAUUUGUAUACCAUCAACAUUCUGUAGCUGGUAUGACUAUUAGGCAUCCCUUCCUUCUAUGUUUUGAGAACUGCCAACAGGUGCAGAAGAAAAGGAGGUCCUCAUACAAAGCCGCAUGCGCGAGAGACUGAGUUGGGGCGGUUAAUUACUACUCUUACCCUUUAGCUAGGGUGUUUAACACAGAAUUUUACUAGACACCUGUGAUUAGGCCUGAAAAUAUGAACAUAAAAUUUUGAGUCCUAUGACUCCUAAAUGUAUAACCUCAUCCUGAAUGUCAUACUUCCGGUUUAUCCUUUUAGGAUUGAACCCAAAUCUCCCGUGCACGCAAGGCCACUUUUUCUUUUCCCAUUUUUUAAAUCACAAUGAAUGAAUUAAUGAACAACCUAUUGAAUAGAAUAUAAAAGAUAACCAUGACUUCCACAAGAACAGACAGAAAUCCAAAGUAUCAGCAUUGUAUCAGCCAUUCAUCCAUGCAGUUCUUUGCUUAAAGAAAUUUGUUUGAGGGAGGCCUGGUUAAUAUCGUGCACAGGUUCUUGUCUCUUUUUUUUU